rnacentral:miRNA from 1 species
UUAAGUAGUUGAUACAAAGGCGA